CGUAAACUCCUACGGGAGGCAGCAGUGGGGAAUAUUGGACAAUGGGCGCAAGCCUGAUCCAGCCAUGCCGCGUGAGUGAUGAAGGCCCUAGGGUUGUAAAGCUCUUUCACCGGUGAAGAUAAUGACGGUAACCGGAGAAGAAGCCCCGGCUAACUUCGUGCCAGCAGCCGCGGUAAUACGAAGGGGGCUAGCGUUGUUCGGAUUUACUGGGCGUAAAGCGCACGUAGGCGGACUAUUAAGUCAGGGGUGAAAUCCCGGGGCUCAACCCCGGAACUGCCUUUGAUACUGGUAGUCUUGAGUUCGAGAGAGGUGAGUGGAAUUCCGAGUGUAGAGGUGAAAUUCGUAGAUAUUCGGAGGAACACCAGUGGCGAAGGCGGCUCACUGGCUCGAUACUGACGCUGAGGUGCGAAAGCGUGGGGAGCAAACAGGAUUAGAAACCCCAGUAGUCCC
rnacentral:rRNA from 1 species